GGGCCUGUAGCUCAGCUGGUUAGAGCGCUACACUGAUAAUGUAGAGGUCCGCGGUUCAAGUCCGCGCAGGCCCA
rnacentral:tRNA from 5 species